rnacentral:rRNA from 1 species
CCUACGGGGCGCAGCAGUGAGGAAUAUUGGUCAAUGGCCGGAAGGCUGAACCAGCCAAGCCGCGUGAGGGAGGAAGGCGCAGAGCGUCGCAGACCUCUUUUGCCGGGGGACAAAAGGCCGGACUCGUCCGGUCCUGAGGGUACCCGGAGAAAAAGCAUCGGCUAACUCCGUGCCAGCAGCCGCGGUAAUACGGAGGAUGCGAGCGUUAUCCGGAUUCAUUGGGAUUAAAGGGUGCGCAGGCGGCCCUUUAAGCCUGCGGUGUAAUCUCGGGGCUCAACCCCGCCCGGCCGU